rnacentral:rRNA from 1 species
AUUGAACGCUGGCGGCAGGCUUAACACAUGCAAGUCGAGCGGAGAUGAGGUGCUUGCACCUUAUCUUAGCGGCGGACGGGUGCGUAAUGCUUAGGAAUCUGCCUAUUAGUGGGGGACAACAUUCCGAAAGGCAUGCUAAUACCGCAUACGUCCUACGGGAGAAAGCAGGGGAUCUUUGGACCUUGCGCUAAUAGAUGAGCCUAAGUCGGAUUUGCUAGUUGGUGGGGUAAAGGCCUACCAAGGCGACGAUCUGUAGCGGGUCUGAGAGGAUGAUGCGCCACACUGGGACUGAGACACGGCCCAGACUCCUACGGGAGGCAGCAGUGGGGAAUAUUGGACAAUGGGGGGAACCCUGAUCCAGCCAUGCCGCGUGUGUGAAGAAGGCCUUAUGGUUGUAAAGCACUUUAAGCGAGGAGGAGGCUACUGAGACUAAUACUCUUGGAUAGUGGACGUUACUCGCAGAAUAAGCACCGGCUAACUCUGUGCCAGCCGCCGCCGUAACAC